rnacentral:rRNA from 1 species
GACGAACGCUGGCGGCAUGCUUAACACAUGCAAGUGGAGCGACGAACCUUUUUGGGGCAAAGCCGCGAACGGGUGAGUAACACGUGGGUAAUGUACCCCGAAGACUGGAAUAACCCGGGGAAACUCGGGCUAAUACCGGAUGUGCUCUCUCUUCACAAGAAGAGCGAGUAAAGGUAGCUUCGGCUAUCCGCUUUGGGAGCGGCCCGCGGUGCCAUUAGCUUGUUGGUAAGGUAACGGCUCACCAAGGCGACGAUGGAUAGCUGGUCUGAGAGGGCGGUCAGCCACACUGGAACUGAGACACGGUCCAGACUCCUACGGGAGGCAGCAGUGGGGAAUCUUGCACAAUGGGCGACAGCCUGAUGCAGCAAUGCCGCGUGAGGGAAGACGGCCUUCGGGUUGUAAACCUCUUUCAGUUGGGAUGAGGGUUUGGCGGUGAAUAGCCGUUCAGACUGACCGUACCUUCAGAAGAAGCCCCGGCUAACUACGUGCCAGCCGCCGCCGUAA